rnacentral:rRNA from 1 species
UGGGUAACCUGCCUCAAAGAGGGGAAUAGCCUCCCGAAAGGGAGAUUAAUACCGCAUAAUAUGUUUAAGUCGCAUGACUUUAACAUCAAAGGAUUUUCUUUUAGAAAUUCCACUUUGAGAUGGACCCGCGGCGCAUUAGCUAGUUGGUGAGGUAACGGCUCACCAAGGCAACGAUGCGUAGCCGACCUGAGUUUUAGGGAUCGGCCACAUUGGAACUGAGACACGGUCCAGACUCCUAGGAGG